ensembl:lncRNA
CAAAUGCUUACAGUGAACGUACCAGAAAUGUCUCCAGGAAGCGGAGCUGAGUUCCUGAAAUGAAAACCACCUCCCCUCGACUUGGCUUUGGGCUGCAUGACUCAGGGGCUGGCUCUAACACCCUGGCAGCAGAACUCAACAGCCAGAAGUUUGGAGGAGACUUUAUUUUGGUAUCUAAGUAAGAAGGAAAUACCUGGUGCAACUUGUCAGCCUUGAAGAGGAAAAAAGACAGUCAUCAUCAUAAUAAAAGUGGUAUCCUGGGUGAAGAGUUACUAUGAAAAGAAGACCAAUGAGUGGGCAGUGCACAGACAAGGAGCAUUAUUUCAGAGAGAUGGCAUAGAGAACCAGAGAGUCCUUGGAGAGGAAGAAGUUGGGACACCCAGAAGACACAGGCUUGUUCCCUGGGGCAGGAAGAUCCCUCGGAAGAGGGCCUAGCAACCUACUUCAGUAUUCUUGCCUGGAGAAUCCCAUGGACAGAGGAUACUGGCAAUUUAUAGUCCAUAGUGUCGCAAAGAGUUGGACAUGACUGAAUCACUGCAGAUGGUGACUGCAGCCAUGAAAUUAAAAGACACUUAUUCCUUCGAAGAAAAGUUAUGACAAACCUAG